AGUGAACGCUGGCGGUAGGCCUAACACAUGCAAGUCGAACGGCAGCACAGUAAGAGCUUGCUCUUACGGGUGGCGAGUGGCGGACGGGUGAGGAAUACAUCGGAAUCUACUUUUUCGUGGGGGAUAACGUAGGGAAACUUACGCUAAUACCGCAUACGACCUACGGGUGAAAGCAGGGGAUCUUCGGACCUUGCGCGAUUGAAUGAGCCGAUGUCGGAUUAGCUAGUUGGCGGGGUAAAGGCCCACCAAGGCGACGAUCCGUAGCUGGUCUGAGAGGAUGAUCCGCCACCCUGGAACUGAGACACGGUCCCGACUCCUACGGGAGGCAGCAGUGGGGAAUAUUGGACAAUGGGCGCAAGCCUGAUCCAGCCAUACCGCGUGGGUGAAGAAGGCCUUCGGGUUGUAAAGCCCUUUUGUUGGGAAAGAAAAGCAGCAGGUUAAUACCCCGCUGUUCUGACGGUACCCAAAGAAUAAGCACCGGCUAACUUCGUG
rnacentral:rRNA from 1 species